GCGAGGGUGGCGGAACUGGUAGACGCACCGGAUUUAGGAUCCGGCGGUUUGUCCGUGGGGGUUCAAGUCCCCCCUCUCGCACCA
rnacentral:tRNA from 1 species